rnacentral:rRNA from 1 species
CCAUACUUCCUUGUCGAAGCCUCUCGUCUAAUUUCAGAAGCUAAGCAGGGCCGACCCUGACUAGUACUUGGAUGGGAGACCACUGGGAAUACUGGGUG